AAAUGAAUAGUUGGACAAAAUCACAGAAACCCCAAUUUUUGUCAAUCUCUCUCUUUCUCUCUCUUCUCCCCAUCUCUCUCUUCGAUUUUCGUCGUACGGCCAAGUCUAGACGAGACUCUGGUUCAUUCCAUGCCAAAUCCGCCUCCAAAAAUCUGAAUUUCUACGUAUUGAAACAACCUGGAGUUGAUGAACUGCUCGAAUACCUUAGGGAAAACGACGAUAAAUUCGAGGUUGUUGUUUUCACGGCUGGAUUGAGAGAAUACGCUUCUCUUGUUCUCGAUAAACUAGACGGAAACAGAGAAUACUCUUUGCAGCCGGAGAAUGGAGUUCUUGUUCAGGCCUUCGUUGACGAUGUCGGCGGCGAUUGUGAACUGAGUAAGUUUGAGAGUUCUUAUGAGUUUGAUGAUAUUAGAGAAGCUGUUAAGCAUUACAUUAAUGCUAAUUCGAAUAAUUUAGAACAGAAUUUACUAACAAAAUUGCUCAAUUUCUGUUGUGUUGAGUUAAUUUGAUUUCAUUGAUGAAGAUGAGAUUUUCCUAGCUUAAAUUGGUUGAAGGUCAAAAGGUAAGAGAUUAUUUGACUUUUUAUAGUCAAAAGGUCAGAGAUUUAUAUACAUAUAUGUAUUACAUAUGUAUGUAUAUAUAUGGCUUUACUCUCUGUUCAUAUUAAUUUUUAGUAUUUUGUAUUGAAUUGCUCAUCAAAGUUAAAUUGUUCUAUUAUACUAAUUAGAACAAAAUUUGUUGAAUUGAAUUGAUUUGAUGAUCUAGGAAUAUCGUUCGCAUAGCUCAAAUUGUUCGCAUAGCCAGGGAAGAAGUCCAUCUCCUGCACCUAAUUGUUCAAGCUCAAAUUGGAAGUCUCCUGUCAGUCGCUCCCAGUCCACUUCAACUCCAACUGCCAGGAAACUCUUUUCUGAAUCUCCUCGUAGUGGUAGUAGCCCUGGUUCUCCAACAGAAGACACAAGAUCAUCGAUUGAGAAUUCGUAUUCUCAGGCCAAUGGAACUGAGGCUGAAAAUAACAUUAAUUUGAUAAUAUACCCCUGUGAGAGAUUAAAAGUGGUUUCUAGUGAUCCGGUACAGGCAUGUACGUGACUAAAAGAGAGGUAUUUCUCUUUUAUACUCAAGUAAUGGGGAGAGAGCCUCAGUUGUAUACAUUUUAAUGCUGUGGGAAGACUUUUUAUUUUUUAUUUUUAAUUUCUGGUUGUGAGCUGUGAUGACAAGUCCUUUGGUGCUUUCAAAACAUGGGAGCCUAGUGAGUCAGAACACUCUAGUUCUUUGAAGAUAUGGGAUUAUUCUGAUUCUGAGGCUGCUCCCCGCUUCUUCUUGGUCUACUCUCCCUAAUAAGUCCUGAAUGUGCAGACCAUUGCCUAUGGAUAUAGGAAGGUGUACUUGUGUUAUUGUUAAGGAAGCAUCACCAGAUGGAUUUCAUGGGGGGACUCUGUAUUCUCUGUAUACAUUUUUUUCUUUCUGCAAUUAGUAAUUAAUGAUAAAUGUUACAAAUAGAUUUUUAUUAGACUUAUUAAACAUUACAUGAGCUUUUAUCAUGUUUUUUUGUACUUGGACCAAAUUUCAUUUGUGAUACAUGUGUUGAAUAUUUUGAUGGUAUAAGAAA